rnacentral:rRNA from 1 species
UACGUAGGGACCGAGCGUUGUCCGGAUUCAUUGGGCGUAAAGAGCUCGUAGGCGGCCACUCAAGUCGAAUGUGAAACCUCGAGGCUCAACCUCGAGCCUGCAUUCGAUACUGGGCGGCUAGAGUCGUGGUAGGGGGAUCUGGAAUUCCUGGUGUAGCGGUGGAAUGCGCAGAUAUCAGGAGGAACACCGGUGGCGAAGGCGGGAUCCUGGGCCAGUACUGACGCUGAGGAGCGAAAGCGUGGGGAGCGAACAGG